GCGUCCGCGCUGAUUAGGCUGAACGGUAGAGUAAUACAUCGGAACGUACCCAGGAGUGGGGGAUAACGUAGCGAAAGUUACGCUAAUACCGCAUAUUCUGUGAGCAGGAAAGCGGGGGAUCGCAAGACCUCGCGCUCUUGGAGCGGCCGAUGUCGGAUUAGCUAGUUGGUGAGGUAAAAGCUCACCAAGGCGACGAUCCGUAGCAGGUCUGAGAGGAUGAUCUGCCACACUGGGACUGAGACACGGCCCAGACUCCUACGGGAGGCAGCAGUGGGGAAUUUUGGACAAUGGGGGCAACCCUGAUCCAGCCAUGCCGCGUGAGCGAAGAAGGCCUUCGGGUUGUAAAGCUCUUUCGGCGGGGAAGAAAUGGCAACGGCUAAUAUCCGUUGUUGAUGACGGUACCCGCAUAAGAAGCACCGGCUAACUACGUGCCAGCAGCCGCGGUAAUACGUAGGGUGCGAGCGUUAAUCGGAAUUACUGGGCGUAAAGCGUGCGCAGGCGGUUUCGUAAGACAGACGUGAAAUCCCCGGGCUCAACCUGGGAACUGCGUUUGUGACUGCGAGGCUAGAGUACGGCAGAGGGGGGUAGAAUUCCACGUGUAGCAGUGAAAUGCGUAGAGAUGUGGAGGAAUACCGAUGGCGAAGGCAGCCCCCUGGGUUUAGUCUGACGCUCAUGCACGAAAGCGUGGGGGAGCAAACAGGAUAAAUACCCUGGUAGUCCACGCGCUAAACGAUGUCAACUAAGUGUUGGAAGGGUUAAACCUUUAAUACCGCACCUAACGCGUGAAGUUAACCG
rnacentral:rRNA from 1 species